rnacentral:lncRNA from 1 species
GAUUUAUCAGUGAUGAAAUUGGACACACUCGAUUUUCCUCCCACUGGUAAUAUUUGCAGUCAGCAUGAAUAGACUUUCUCAGUACAGUUUUCAACUCCUGGCACAACAGUAUCCUUUUUCCAAACUAUAGCAUAAAUCACAGAAAAGUAUCUCCUCAUUUGUUUGGGAUGAGUUUUAAUUCAGAAACAAUUUAUAGUAAUAUUCUAAGAGACUGACUGAAUUUGCUUUCCCAACUGAAAAAGGAAUCAACUAUUUGUUAUUAUUUAAUGAAGCUUUGAAGCAUGAGGAAGUCAAUUAUUCUUCAGUGCAGUGAUGUACAAAGGGGACUCCUGCAUUUUCCCUGUUCCCUGAAGAGAUUAAGAACUUCUGAGUGGAGACAAACGGGAAAAAAUAUUGUUUGUGGAACCUUGCCUAGGCUUGAUGAGAAGGAGGAAAGAGCUCUUACAGCUAAAACUAAUCAGUAACUGUGGUUUCUCCAAACAUGGAAGAAUUUUCCAUCAACAGUCACAAUGGGGAGUGUCUAGUUGGACCAUCAUGGAAGAUGGAGGGAUCUGGGGAGUUUGGAUGGUGUAGCUGCAAUGACAGAAGAGGACACUGUCCAUUGUGGCUUUGAACAGACAUGAUCCAUUCCCGGUGGUAGAGCCUUAUCAUUCAGUCUGGGGAGUGGACUGGAAUCCAGCUGGCAUUCAUCGUCCCCCUGUCCUGCCUUGGCAGGGGUUGCGGGGCCUCAAGAAGGUUAGCAGGAUUAAAUGAAGCAAAAAGGAUGGAGCCCUAAUUCAAUAGGAAUGAUGUGAUUAUAAGAAGAGAAAGAGACACCAAAGCACAGAGGCAAGAUGGUGUGAGGACACAAUGGGAAGGUGGCAUCUGCAACUAAGGAGAGAAGCUUCUGGAUAAACCAAAUUUGCUGACCUCUUAACCUUGGACAUCCAGUCUCUAG